ensembl:lncRNA
GGAAAAUCCUGGCAGCUCUAUAUUAUCUGUGUCGUCGUUCAGCCACGACUCAGUGAAACCUAAGAUAUUACAUCCAUUUUGUUUACCAAUGAUUGCAUGUUGGCCAAUAUAACGGAUGGCAGUGGAGGUUUACUCACCCGUUAAAAACAAAACUGUUACGGCUGUUUGAAGAAGAGGACCAAGGUGCAGCGUGUGACACCAAGUCCCCCACACAAGAUGGCUUCCGGUGCCAGCUGGAGGCUUGUGGGUAAUUGCUUCUUCCGUUUAAAUUCUCGAGUGUAGUGUUUAAGGACUUCCUACGGACUGAACCUGGCCAAAUUCCCUGACGAGGAGGACAUGCUCAUAUAUGAGGGUUAAGACCUUUACACACACACACACACCGUGUAAAGGGGUGUUUCCACCCAUCAUGUGAGCAGGGUUCACCUUUUGACUUGGCAGUAUGACACAC